GCAGUAGCCACGGUAAAACGUAGGUGGCAAGCGUUGUCCGGAAUUAUUGGGCGUAAAGGGCUCGCAGGCGGUUUCUUAAGUCUGAUGUGAAAGCCCCCGGCUCAACCGGGGAGGGUCAUUGGAAACUGGGAAACUUGAGUGCAGAAGAGGAGAGUGGAAUUCCACGUGUAGCGGUGAAAUGCGUAGAGAUGUGGAGGAACACCAGUGGCGAAGGCGACUCUCUGGUCUGUAACUGACGCUGAGGAGCGAAAGCGUGGGAAGCGAACAGGAUUAGAUACCCCAGUAGUCCCUGUCUCUUAUAC
rnacentral:rRNA from 1 species